UGCAAGUGUAUAUCAAUGUUGCUGCGGUUAAAAAGCUCGUAGUUGGAUCUGUGUGAUCAGGAUCUGGUCCAGCCCAGUGCUGUGUACUAGUGCCUGUCACUAGCCACUGCUGGUCUUGUCCCAAUGUCCUUCACUAGAUGUUGGUGACUGGCUAGCGAGUUUACUUUGAAAAAAUUAGAGUGCUCAAAACAGGCGAUCUGCCUGAAUACUUCUGCAUGGAAUAAUGGAAGAGGACCUCGGUUCUGUUUUGUUGGUUUUAAGAGCACGAGGUAAUGAUUAAGAGGAACAGACGGGGGCAUUCGUAUUCCGGCGUUAGAGGUGAAAUUCUUGGAUCGUCGGAAGACGAACAACUGCGAAGGCAUUUGCCAAGAAUGUUUUCAUUAAUCAAGAACGAAAGUUAGAGGUU
rnacentral:rRNA from 1 species